UACGUAGGGGGCAAGCGUUGGUCCGGAUUUAUUGGGCGUAAAGAGCAGUGUAACGGCUAGAUAGGUCCGUUGUGAAAACUCGAGGCUCAACCUCGAGACGUCGAUGGAAACCAUCUGGCUAGAGUCCGGAAGAGGAGAGUGGAAUUCCUGGUGUAGCGGUGAAAUGCGCAGAUAUCAGGAAGAACACCAAUGGCGAAGGCAGCUCUCUGGGACGGUACUGACGCUGAGACGCGAAAGCGUGGGGAGCGAACAGG
rnacentral:rRNA from 1 species